ensembl:lncRNA
GCGAGUGAUAGUAUUUCCAAGUCUUUUCUGACAUUUUAACAGAUAUCAAAUAUUGUAUUUAUCUGUUUUAGAAAACAUUUUUAUAAACACAACUGAUAGGAUUAGAAAUAAAAAGGAGAGACGAUUACGAUUACAUUUUACAGCAUCCAUGUGAAAACAAACCUGGAAAGAGACGUGAGGAUUUGGGGAGAAAAACAAGAGAUUCUUAGUGCAUUCCAGUAAAUUAUUCAUGGCAAAUAGCCUAUUGUAAAUGAAAUCAGGAGGUCAGACCACAAAUGCGUUAGUUGCACAAAUGCACAAAUGUUUUUUCCCCUCCCAUGUUGUUACAGCAGAAUACAAAGGAAAAUGAAAAUAAUGAGGAAAAGACUACAGCAGACUGAAAGGAGCUCUUCUUAUAGAUAUUCUUAUUAUACCGUGUCACAUUAAAAUACCAAGUGUCAUGUUAUUCUAUAGACAUCUGAAAACUGAACAUGAAAUAAAACUUACAACUUACAAACUGAUGGAUAAGUAUUAUUUUUAGUACAACUUUUUAAUUUGAAAUGAUUUUUUUUUCAGUCUUUUAGCACAGAGCAUCCCCAAACUGGAAGUGCAUCCCAUAAUUUAAAACAGAGUAUAGGCUUUCUAGGAGAAAGAUGGAUACCUAUCUUUAAAUUUAGCAGUGAAAGAAAAUGGAGCAUUGUUAUUUUAAAGGUUUGUUUUUAUUUAAAUUUCUCAGAAUCUGCGGUAGGAGGCACACCUUACUAUAAUGAUGUCACCACAGGUCCAACAGAGCAACACGUCACACCAGAGAAUUAUGAUGAUGUAAUCACUGUUGGACUGACACAUCAUACUACAGGUGACAUAUCAGAAAGCUAUGAUGAUGUUGUCAUCAUAAGACGGCUCUCCAAUAAUAAAUCAGAGGGAGAUCUGGAGGAGUAUGAUGAUGUCUGGUAGACCUGUCUGACUAUGAUUAUUUGAGAGAGGAGCCAGGAAAACUGGGAGGGACUGUUUAAGUCAGUGACUACACCCACUGCCUUACAUCGUAUUACAGCUUUUAGUUGCUCUGCACUUAAAAGUGUUGAAUGUACUAACACAACUGCAUUUAGCCAGUGUUUGCUGUUGUUACAAUUACUAGACAUAGAAAACAUGGACAUCAGUUUAAUGCAAAUAUAGAACAAAUUCAUAUAAAGACAGGGUGUUUAACAUGUUCUUUUGUAUUUUGACAUUUAUGUGAUCAUUUUAAUAAGCUUAAGGUGUCCAGGUCAAAUGCAGCUGCAGAACAAAAUGACCAACAUGCUUUUUGCUUUAUGAAAACAGUUAUAUUCUUUUGAAAGAAAAUAUUAUUGCACACUGCUAUGUAUUGUAAAUGUAUUUAUCUUAUGAGUGCAUUUAGCAAAAAAUAAAAAUGAUUCUAUUUUUUUCUGAUGUUUAAAG